AACGAACGCUGGCGGCAUGCCUAACACAUGCAAGUCGAACGAGACCUUCGGGUCUAGUGGCGCACGGGUGCGUAACGCGUGGGAACCUGCCCUUAGGUUCGGAAUAACUCCCCGAAAGGGGUGCUAAUACCGGAUAAUGUCUUCGGACCAAAGAUUUAUCGCCUUUGGAUGGGCCCGCGUUGGAUUAGCUAGUUGGUAGGGUAAAAGCCUACCAAGGCGACGAUCCAUAGCUGGUCUGAGAGAAUGAUCAGCCACACUGGGACUGAGACACGGCCCAGACUCCUACGGGAGGCAGCAGUGGGGAAUAUUGGACAAUGGGCGAAAGCAUGAUGCAGCAAUGCCGCGUGAGUGAUGAAGGCCUUAGGGUUGUAAAGCUUUUUUACCCGGGAUGAUAAUGACAGUACCGGGAGAAUAAGCUCCGGCUAACUCCGUG
rnacentral:rRNA from 1 species